rnacentral:rRNA from 1 species
CACUUCUUCUCUAGUAGAACGUCGUGACCCGUUAGAUGUUGAUCUAUGGCCUACAUGGUAGUCUUUGAAUAUUGCUUGCAAUUUUUGGAGACCUUUAGUGACCUGAUCAGCUGUUUGACGGUAUUCAUAUGAUAAUAAGCCGCUGUAUAGCGUUAAAUCCGUUGCAAGUGCGGUCAAUUAUUGGCAGUAUGGAUCUAAUGCCAUCGCUGAAAUUGACCAACUGUUGGUAACGGUGUUCUUUAACUGGCUUUAUUUAUCGGUCAACGACGCUACUGCUUUGGGUACUUUCAGGACCCGUCUUGAAAACACGGAC